rnacentral:rRNA from 1 species
UACGGGGGGGGCAAGCGUUGUUCGGAAUUACUGGGCGUAAAGGGCUCGUAGGUGGUCAACUAAGUCAUACGUGAAAUCCCUCGGCUUAACCGGGGAACUGCGCCUGAUACUGGUUGACUUGAGUCUGGCAGAGGCCAGCGGAAUUCCGGGUGUAGCGGUGGAAUGCGUAGAGAUCCGGAAGAACACCGGAGGCGAAGGCGGCUGGCUGGGCCUGAUCUGACGCUGAGGUGCGAAAGCGUGGGGAGCGAACAGG